CCUACGGGUGACAGCAGUGGGGAAUAUUGCGCAAUGGGCGAAAGCCUGACGCAGCGACGCCGCGUGAGGGAUGAAGGUCUUCGGAUCGUAAACCUCUGGCAGGUGGGAAGAAGUGGUUAUAUGCGAAUAGUGUAUGACUUUGACGGUACCUCCAAAGGAAGCACCGGCGAACUCCGUGCCAGCAGCCGCGGUCAUACGGAGGGUGCGAACGUUAAUCGGAAUCAGUGGGCGUAAAGCGCGCGUAGGCAGCUUUUCAAGUCAGGGGUGAAAUCCUACGGACCAACCGUGGAACGUCCUUUGAAACUGUAGAGCUUGAGUGUCGGAGAGGGUGGCGGAAUUCCAGUUGUAGGAGUUGAGUCCGUAGAUAUCUGGAGGAACACCGGUGGCGAAGGCGGCCACCUGGACGACAACUGACGCUGAGGUGCGAAAGCGUGGGUAGCAAACAGGAUUAGAUACCCUGGUAGUC
rnacentral:rRNA from 1 species